rnacentral:rRNA from 1 species
AUAAGAAAGUAAGCAAGGGCAGACGGUGGAUGCCUUGGCUCUCGGAGGCGACGAAGGACGUGAUAAGCUGCGAUAAGCUGGGGGGAGAUGCAAAUAAUCUUUGAUCCUCAGAUUUCCGAAUGGGGCAACCCGGCAGGUUGAAGGCCUGUCAUCCCGUAAGGGAGGCGAACGUGGGGAACUGAAACAUCUAAGUACCCAUAGGAGGAGAAAAUAAGAAUGAUUCCGCAAGUAGUGGCGAGCGAACGCGGAAGAGCCCAAACCGGUAUUGUUUAGGCAAUACCGGGGUUGUAGGACCACGUUGUGGCAAGAACUUAGGAAAGUGGAACACUUUGGAAAAAGUGAUCGUAGAGGGUGAAAAUCCCGUACACGACUUUCUAACGAAGCCUAGUGGUAUCCUGAGUAGCGCGGAGCACGAGAAAUUCUGUGUGAAUUAGCGGGGCCCAUCCCGUAAGGCUAAAUACUCCCGAGAGACCGAUAGCGAACCAGUACCGUGAGGGAAAGGUGAAAAGAACCUCGAACAGAGGAGUGAAAUAGACCCUGAACCCGUCUGCCUACAAGCGGUCGGAGCAACGUAAGUUGUGACGGCGUGCCUUUUGCAUAAUGAACCUACGAGUUACUUUCUCCGGCAAGGUUAAGUAUUUCAGAUACGGAGCCGAAGCGAAAGCGAGUCUGAACAGGGCGACAUAGUCGGAGGGAGUAGACGCGAAACCAAGUGAUCUACCCAUGGUCAGGUUGAAGGUUAGGUAACACUAACUGGAGGACCGAACCGGUAAGCGUUGAAAAGCUUUCGGAUGAACUGUGGGUAGGGGUGAAAGGCUAAUCAAACUUGGAGAUAGCUCGUACUCCCCGAAAUGCAUUUAGGUGCAGCCUUUAUUUAGUAUAGCAUGAGGUAGAGCGACUGAUUGGAUGCGAGGGCUUCACCGCCUAUCAAGUCCAGAUAAACUCCGAAUGCGUGCUAUAUAUUGAUAAGGAGUGAGGGCGCGGGUGCUAAGGUCCGCGUCCGAGAGGAGAAGAAUCCAGACCAUCAGCUAAGGUCCCCAAAUAACAGUUAAGUUGAA